AAACGAGUGUUCUGUGUUUUUUUAUUGUUUGUUUUAUUAUUGAAAAUAAUUUCACGCCAAUUGUUUCAUUUAAAAUCCGAGAAAGAAUUUCGAGAAACGAGAGAAUAAUAAUAUUCGUUAAAGCGAAUGAAUUUAUAAGAGAAGUAGCACGAUUAAUUAUUCAUUUCUCGUCUAAUACUCGUCGUCAUGUUGAUCAAAAAUUAUCUUCGCGUCGAACUAUGCGAUUUAAAAUCGUGGCGUCGCGUAUCGAAUACGUUGAAACAACAAUGAUCGUCAAAAUUCAAAUGAAUGUGUCGAUAAUUCGUGACAAUGGAACAAAAAUAUAAUCAUGAGGACUAAUAUUGAAAAAUACAUUGACAACUUUUGUCCAACGAUCUAAUCAAAUUCCUUUGGAAUCGAAUUAAAUGAUUUAUCAUCGACGAAGGUGAACAUUGUUAAAGUACAUCGAAAUUAAAUCAAAAAAGAUAUCGAGAAAAAUAUAUAUAAAAAAAAAAAUAAGAAAGAAAAGAUAAGAGAGAGAAGUAAUAAUUCGUGAUGCAGUCGUUGGAAAAUACAUUGAAUUUAACAAACAAUUAUCCUUGGAAUACAUCGUUACUGUGGUUCGACAAUUAUACCUUCAACCUGUCAUGUGGGGAAUGUUUAAACAAUACGAAUUUGACGGAUCUCGAGUUGAGAAAUCAAUUCGUACUGCCAUGGUGGAGACAAAUUAUUUGGAGUUUGCUUUUCGCCGGUAUGAUCAUAGUUGCAACCGGUGGAAAUUUAAUAGUGAUAUGGAUAGUAUUGGCGCACAAAAAAAUGCGCACAGUGACCAAUUACUUUUUGGUCAAUUUAAGUAUAGCCGAUGCUAUGGUGUCUACGUUGAACGUUACAUUUAAUUACAUUUACAUGCUCAACAGUCAUUGGCCGUUUGGUACACUUUACUGUAAGAUUUGCCAAUUCAUCGCGGUACUCACAAUUUGUGCCAGUGUCUUCACUCUGAUGGCUAUAUCGAUCGAUCGGUUCAUGGCCAUAGUGAAUCCAUUGAGACCAAGAAUGGGUCGUAGAGCAACUCUCUGUGUCGCUGUGGUCAUUUGGAUCGUCGGUGCAAUUCUUUCCUUUCCAAUGCUACUCUUUAACACCACCUACACGCAAAAUUUCGCUAAUGGUGAAGUACGAGUAAUAUGUUACAGCGAUUGGCCUAACAGGGAUGACGAUGGUCUUAGCUUUCAGGAAUAUCUAUACAACGUAAUCUUUAUGAUCCUAACAUAUUUUCUACCUAUCGGCUCGAUGACUUUCACUUAUGCAAGAGUCGGUGCAGAAUUGUGGGGCUCGCAAAGCAUCGGGGAAGCUACCGCAAGACAAUUGGAAAAUAUUCGAAGUAAACGAAGGGUCGUGAAGAUGAUGAUCGUAGUGGUGGUAAUAUUCGCAGUCUGCUGGUUACCACUUCACGUUUAUUUCAUUGUAACAUCGUACCUGCCAGAAAUUACCAAAGAAUCCUACAUCCAAGAAUUAUUUCUUGGUAUUUAUUGGCUAGCCAUGUCUAAUAGCAUGUAUAAUCCUAUCAUUUAUUGUUGGAUGAAUUCCAGAUUCCGUCGUGGUUUCAUACAAUUUUUUUCAUGGUGUCCAUGGGUGCGGGUCACCCCAGAACCAUCUCUAUCCCGUUCAGAAGCUGUUACAUCGCGAUACAGUUGCACCGGAAGUCCCGAAGCUAAUUCAAGGAUACCACGGAACGAUAAAAGAAAGAAAAUGCGUUUGAGAUCAAAAACUAAGGAAAAUAGACGAUAGAGACGGAAAAGAUUCAAAUUUCAAAUUUUCCUCUUAUUUCCCAAGAGAACAAUAGUCGUGAAAUAGAAAAUACGCACGGUUAGAAUACCGCUGCAUCUACAAUCAACGAGAGGAGAUGGAAAUGAAAGAUUUUUGGAACAUCAAAUUCGUGGAA
rnacentral:misc_RNA from 1 species